rnacentral:rRNA from 1 species
CCUGUCUGCCCUUUUUAAUCUUACUUGAUCAUAAAAGCUAAGCAGCAUUGGGUUAAUACUUGGAUGGGAGACUGCCUGGGGACACCAGAUGCAGUAGGC